rnacentral:lncRNA from 1 species
UACCAUCAACAAGCUGAGAGCAGAAUCGGGAACAAGCUGUACGGCCAUGGCCUUCUAUUCCCAUACACAAAUAUUCCAGCAGAAUCAAAGUCAGGCAGGCAGUCUUUGGCCCUGUGCUUCUGCUGAGCAUCCACAGACACCUGCAGCAAACGAUCCAGACAUUCUGACUCAGGGAGGAGAGGGAACAAGGUUAAAUAAGGUGGAUGAAUCAGCAUGCUUCGUCAUCACGUGUCUGAAGCCAUGACUGGUUACUGCAUUGCUCAAAUAGAUAUCCUUCUGACUUUCUGGACUUCAGCACCACUUCUCAGUUACAGUCUCACCUGGAACUUCCCUGAGAGCACCUCACUCUGGAACAUUCAAUCACUCCUG